UAGCUACAAACCAAGAACAACAAGAAACACACUUUCAUUAGGGACUUGGUUCAGGUGAAACACUUCAGCUGAGAAGUCGUGUGAUACCUUGAUGGUGGAAUCCAUGUAGAUGUCUAAGUCCAGAAAAUGCCUACUGUACCAUGCUGGAACUUAAAUCUUUUGCUACUGGGAUGUUGUUCUUGGUCAGGUAUGUGAUGGGAUUGACAACAAUUGAGCCACUCACCACAGGACUGCUGACACCGGUGCUGUCGAGACACUCGCUAUGCUGAGAUGCCCAUACCAGUAUCUAGCCUGCCUGAUGUUCAUCCAAAAGAGUGGUACAACAAUAACUCACAACAAUAAAAAAUAUGUAGUUUUAGUCCCCUAAAGGUGACACCCAGGAGGAUUAUAGCUUCCCUCUCUGUCUGUCUGUAUAUGUACAUAACGUGCGUAACACCAAAGUUUGUCAGCGCUCUAGUGGCUUCAUUCAUU